UACGGGGGAGCAAGCGUUGUUCGGAUUUACUGGGCGUAAAGGGCGCGUAGGCGGUCAGCACAAGUCAGUUGUGAAAUCUCCGGGCUUAACUCGGAAAGGUCAACUGAUACUGUGCGACUAGAGUGCAGAAGGGGCAACUGGAAUUCUCGGUGUAGCGGUGAAAUUCGUAGAUAUCGGGAGGAACACCAGUGGCGAAGGCGGCGAUCUGGGAACGAUACUGACGCUGAGGUGCGAAAGCGUGGGGAGCAAACAGG
rnacentral:rRNA from 1 species